UGACGGCCCACCAAGGCUGCGAUGCCUACCGCGCGUGCGAGCGUGGCCCGGCACACUGGGACUGAGACACUGCCCAGACUCCUACGGGAGGCUGCAGUCGAGAAUCUUCGGCAAUGGGCGCAAGCCUGACCGAGCGACGCCGCGUGGAGGACGAAGGCCUUCGGGUUGUAAACUCCUGUCGAGGGGGAGGAAGCCGCAAGGUUGACCGAUCCCUGGAGGAAGCACGGGCUAAGUUCGUGCCAGCAGCCGCGGUAAGACGAACCGUGCGAACGUUAUUCGGAAUCACUGGGCUUAAAGCGGGUGUAGGCGGGUCAUCACGUCGGCUGCUGAAAACAAAACAAAAAAACCGAGGAACGGGCACCGAUACGAGUGACCUGGAGGGAGGUAGGGGGGGCUGGAACUUCCGGUGGAGCGGUGAAAUG
rnacentral:rRNA from 1 species